CCCAGUCGGAUACACAACACAGCUUCAAUGACCCUGAUGCUAACUCUCUCUGACAUUUUGGCCAGGAGGAACCAUUCCGGCACAACAACAUGUUCAGUUCCCUCUUUGUUAAUGUUUCACAGAUGGUGGCCCUCACUGUGCUGAUGCAUUUUGGCCGCUCGGAUAUUGAUAUACACGAGUAUAAUUAACAUUUUCUCUCACCCCAGGUCGUCUCCAUGAACAAGGUCAGUUUCAGAUCGAGAUCAGAUGGAGUCUCAGGGAGAGAGGCUGGCGGGGACGGGAGUCGUGCCAAGAAGGCAGUAAACGACAAAAAGGCUCUCGCAGAACUCCUUGCUUGAGUCAUGCUUAUUUUGGAUGUGUCCGAAGAGUUCUCAGUAGUCUUGAAGAGAAUGCCAGACUUUGAU